GAUGAACGCUGGCGGCGUGCCUAAUACAUGCAAGUCGAGCGAACAGACGAGGAGCUUGCUCCUCUGACGUUAGCGGCGGACGGGUGAGUAACACGUGGAUAACCUACCUAUAAGACUGGGAUAACUUCGGGAAACCGGAGCUAAUACCGGAUAAUAUAUUGAACCGCAUGGUUCAAUAGUGAAAGACGGUUUUGCUGUCACUUAUAGAUGGAUCCGCGCCGCAUUAGCUAGUUGGUAAGGUAACGGCUUACCAAGGCAACGAUGCGUAGCCGACCUGAGAGGGUGAUCGGCCACACUGGAACUGAGACACAGUCCAGACUCCUACGGGAGGCAGCAGUAGGGAAUCUUCCGCAAUGGGCGAAAGCUUGACGGAGCAACGCCGCGUGAGUGAUGAAGGUCUUCGGAUCGUAAAACUCUGUUAUUAGGGAAGAACAAAUGUGUAAGUAACUAUGCACGUCUUGACGGUACCUAAUCAGAAAGCCACGGCUAACUACGUG
rnacentral:rRNA from 1 species